UUAAGGAUACACUCCUUAUCUGCUGCAUUCGGAAUAAAGAAUAAGACUAAUAAUAUUUGAGUGAUAAUCAAAACGACAAUUCUUGAAAUUUGGAAGCUAUUUGCAAUCGCAUUGCAAGCAGUACAUCUACACAGCUUAAGAAUAAGACCAAGAUCACCUUUAGCUCCAACACACCUUACCAGUAAUCAUUACGAGAGCAUUUCCCAUCCUUGAAAUGAUGGAAUCGAUUGGAAUCCCUCACCACAAUUUGUCUUCCUGAAGAUUGAAAAAAAGUACUUGAAUGCUGUGUGACAAUCUCCUCCACAAACUCUCAAAUUCUUAAAAACCAUUAAUGGUUUAAAUUUAGAUGCACUGAUGAAACCAACUGCAACAGCAAUUUUCUCACCGUGUUGAAACAAAUAUUGCUCCUUUUGCUCCUGCUCAACAUCAUGAAGAACAAAAUCUGUGUUUGGAACAUAGCCCAAUUCCUUUAUUUUUAGAGUCAAUUGAUCCAGUUCAUCAUAAAUCUCUAAAACUUGUGGGUGUGAAGGAUCACCCAUAUAGAACUUAUGCACUUUAUUUUCCACCUCGAUCCAGCUACAACCGCUUCUUUAGUCAAAUUUCUCUCUUUCGUGUUUUUUCUAGUUUCCGCCACUAUAUCCCAUUGACCAGUAGAAGCAUACAAAUUUGAUAGAAGGAUGUAUGCUCCAGCGUCAUUUGGGUCUUGCUCAAGAAUCAUCUUAGCAGCAUGUUUCCCAAGAUUUAUGUUACCAUGUACUCGACAAGCUCCAAGAAAAGUACGAAGUACCAAAGCAUCAGCCUUGAAAGGCAACGAGUUAAUGAAUUCCAUUGCUUACUCAAGACAUCCUGAUCGGCCUAGUAAAUCAACCAUACAAGCAUAAUGUUCCAUCCUUGGGACAAUACCAUGUUCCAUACUCAUUGACUUGAAGUGUUUCCAUCCCUCAGAAAUCAAACCCACAUGAAUACAGGCUGAUAAAACAGCAAUAAAUGUGAUCUCAUUUGGCCUCACAGCUGCCUCUAGCAUUUUGUGGAAGGUCUCCAAAGCCCUUACAGCAAAUCCAUGUUUUGAAAAAUCCGUGACCAUUGAAGUCCAAGAUAUAACAUUGCGAUCUCCCAUCCCAUUAAAAACUUGAAAAGCGGCUUCUAUAUCUCCGCAUCUGAAGUGCAUAUCAAUAGAACUGUGAAGGCCUGACUUGAAACCUGAUUGCAGUAUCCAAGCAUGGAUUUGCUCACCCUUACCAAUUGCACCAAUCCCGGAUGCUCUGCUCAAAAGGCUAGCAAAUGUAAAAGCAUCAACCUAUCCUCAAUUUCAAUAAAAAGUUCAAAUGAUUCUUCAGAAUUCAAACUCUUUGCAUAAGCAUUGACAAUUGUAUUGUAAGAAAUCAAAUUCUUCUCAAAUAGAACAUUAAAAGUUUUUCUAGCAUUUUCCAUAUCACCACACCGAGCAUCCAUGCUAAUAAGAGAAUUUCCUACACAAUUAACUGAUGCAAGUCCCAAUUUCACUGCAUAGGCAUAAACUUGUUCACCCAUACGCAGAUCAGAAAGAUUUGCACAUGCCUUAGAAUGCUAGAAAAUGUGAAAUGAUUUGUUUGACUCGUCCCUCAAUUAUUUCAAGGAAUAAUUCAACAGCUCCCAUUUCAUACUCUCAAUCUGCACAUACCCUGUAAUAAUUGCAAUCCAAGACAUAACAUUAUGAUCUGACAUCCGAUCAAACACCUUCCUAGAAUCACGCAUAGAUCCAUCAGUUGUCCACUUUGCAUGCAUAUCCAACAAACUACACCCAACGCAAAAAUACAAAAAUAGCCUGAUUUUGUGGCCCAAGAAUGCCAUUGUUGCCCAAAUGAUAACAAUCUCAAUUCUGCACAAGCUGAAACAAGCCCACUUAGUGUAUAUUUUAUCUGGCAUAUACUCACUUGAAACCAUAUUGAUAAAAAAAAUCAAUAGCACCGUAUGAAUAGCCCAAUUGCUGAAGCCUAGUUAUCAGCAAAGUCCAAGUAACAACAUUUCUCUCCGUCAUUUUAUCGAACAUCUUAUAUGCAGAAUCGAAAUCACCGCUUCCCAUCACAAACAUGUCGAUCAAAGCACACCCCACACACACACACACACACGCGAGAGUCAAAAUAUCCACUUUUUAUCACAGAUCCAAAAAUUAUUUGCCCGAGAGAAACAUUGUCCUUACUUGAACAAGCACGGAUAACUGCAGUAUAGCAGUACUCCUUAGGAUAAAAACCGCAAUUAAGCAUAUCAAUAUAUGUAUUUACAGCCUCAAAUUACAUUCUGUUAUUAGCAUAACAAGAGAUCGAAGCACUCCAUGAAACCAAAUCCCUCUUAUCCCCCAUACAUUCAAAUAUACAAUUGGCUUUGUCCCACUCACCACAUUUCGAGUAGAGGCUAAUCAGAGAAUUGAGAAUGACCGAGUCGAGCUCCAGUCCAGACUGAGUCAAGUAAUCAUGGAGGAGUUUACCCAGUUGGAAAUUAUUUGCACGGAUGCAGGAUUUGAGGAGAAGGGAGUAGGUGAUGAGGUCUGGAUGAGUCCCUUCUUGAGACAUGAUAUCAAGGACCGCCUCAUCCGCCACCUAGAUGCCGGCCGUCUCCGCAAAGCAAUCUCAACCCUUG
rnacentral:misc_RNA from 1 species